GUAGGUAUGUGCGCUAAAGCUACACAAUAGGCUAUUGGCAACUAUCUGAGAAACACCACUGAGAAUUUUGAUUCCCUGCAAAGGGAAUCUCAUUUGUGAAACCAUUGCCUCAAUUUAGACUUAUAGAUCUGAAGUAGAGGGAAAUUUCUUCCUGAUCCCUGUAUGCAUAGUACGAUUUAGUAACCAACCACAGGGAUUUUAAUUUCACAGAUUUUACGGGCAAAUACUUCGCAGGAAGUACUUAAAGGUCUUAAUGGAGUCCUGGAUUGAACCCAGGUCCCUCAGGAAUGGAGUCCUAUUCUCUAAUCGCUGGGCUGUCACUAUAUAACCCUUUACCAGUUAGAUACUAAAAAAAAAAGCACCAGACUGCCGCAGACUUAGUGGCGGGAAGAGUACCUAUCAUAGACAAAGAGUAGGUAGGCACUUUAUUUACGUGACACUAGAGCUGCACACUGGGCUAUUGGCUGAGAAACAUCCCUGAGGAUGAUCCGAAGAUAUGCCAUUGCAAUUUUGAUCUUUUACAACGGGGAUAGUUCUCCUGCUUUGGUACCCCCGACGACUUGCGCCCCCGUUAAAUAGUUUAACGAGAACUGAUGCCUCAUACCCUCGGUUUCUACUCAGACUUAUCAAAGUGGUCAAUCACUCGCUUACUGACCGCAUCCAUUGAUGCUUGACUUCGGUAUUCUACUGGGUACCGUCUAUUUACGAUCAACCCACUGCGGGACUUUUAAGUUAGAAGUAAGGCCUUUUGAGCAAGUUUUACUUUCAACAGUUAAAAACUGAGUAACUGUUGUUUAACGUUAUUCCUCAUCCGUUCAAAUCUUGGCGAGUUUGUUGUUGUUUUAGUAGUUCGAUAUUGAGAGUUGAAAACAUUGAAUUUAGUUUUAUAAAAUUAUUAUUUAAACACGUGUGUUUUGAAAAAGCGUUGCAGUUUGUUUAUUCAAUCCGUCAAAACAGCGAAUUCUUAUAUAACCACUGAGAUUUGGAUUUUUUAAACCAUUUUUCAUUGUUAUAGUUCCAAAUUUCAACUGUUCUUUAUAUUGCCUGAAUGAAAGUUAUUUAAUGCUAAAAUCGAUCAGUCCGCUACGAUAAUCGAAGAACGCAGCUGCAGACUACGCCUCCAGAAUUACUAGCCUUUUUGAACAGGCCUGGUCUACAAAUUUCAGUUUCAGGGGCGAGUGGAGUGAAAAAUUUUGCAGAGCCUGUUGCUCGGGCUCAGCCAAAAAACGUGGAGCAACGUGGCAUCGAACCGAGGAAUCUCGAGCCGCCAGGGGGAUCGAAGUAUCACUGCGAGUUUUGCAAUUUCGAGACUACCUCGAUUCAACGUUUACAUAAUCAUCUCGAGGAACAUAAGUCUUCCGUUGUGCAUCGAUGUACUCUGUGUAGUAAGGUGUUUAAAAGCCUAGCUAAUUUGCAGAAUCACAUGCCUACGCAUGACCGUGUCUUUACUUGCGAUUACUGUGAGAAGAAAUUCAAGCAUCAGUCGUCGUUGAGGGCUCAUAUAAAAACUCAUUUUCCCUUCGAGCAGAAGUGUCCGAUUUGUGACAAAGUGUUGACAUCAGAUGCUGCAUUUAAGAAGCAUAUGUACAGUCAUCAGUUGCAAUGAACUUUUUGUUACUUUUGGACCAAUUUCUUCUUAUUUUGGUGUUAGCUGUGUAUUAGAGUGUUUGAAUUUUUUAAGGAUUGUAUAAGGGAGGUCAACUACAGUCAGUUUUUGGUAGUUUAUUAUUUUUUUUUUGUAUAUCAUAAUUGCCAAUUCUCCCUGCUGGAAAAAUCGGAAGACUCCCGAAUAUUAGGGGAAUGUUCCCUGUUCCAAAUGCUGAACUUAUUGCAUCCUGAGACAUGGUUGCCACUCCACUGGGAAAAAAAAGCCUGGAAUAUACAGGGAAUUUAAAAAUCACCUAAAAUAACAAAGAAUUUUGUGUUUUUCUUUAACUGGGAAUUCUGUUUAUUUUCGUCUUUUGAAAAAUAGUGACCAAACCGUAAUCUGUAGGAUAUUUAAGGGUGAUAUUUCUGCUAUACUAAACUAUUUCAUUUACUAUAGCAUUAUUUGUUUUAAGUCUGUUAAGCUAUUCCUUAUUUCUUUAAGUUUUUCCAGCAAUUAAAACUAGUAUAGUUAGCUGAAUAUAGCUCAUGCAAGAGCACAGUGAUUGUGUUUUUCUUCUUAAUAUAUUGUGUAUAAUAUGUUACAGUGAAAACACUAGGAAUUUUUUUUUUCAGAUUUGAGUGGCAACCCUUGCGAGAAAGCCAUAGGUUUUUUUUUCUAGUGAAUAUCAAAAGAAAUACUAUUUGCUCUUAGUGUACAUAAUCCAUUAUUAUAAUCAAAGCAAUUUUUGAAAGUUAAUAUGUCUUUUUAAUGAAAAAGAUGGUAUAAUUUUUAAAUUAUGAUUAAUUUUUAAAAUGUUUUUUUUUUCUUUUUUAGAAUCAAUUUUGAAUUUUCGUCCUGAUCUAACAAUUUAACUACAAAAAUUUUAUUUGACUUUCAAAUUAGGUAUAUAAAAUUACCAUCUUUUUCAUGAAGCUGUUUCCCGGACUGAUGAAGUCCAAUUAUCUUUUUAUAUUUUUGAUAACUCCUGUAAUUCUAUUCUUUAAAAAAAAUGAAAAUUAUUAUCAUACAUGGUCAUUGUUAAUUUUACAAUGUUAGCUGUUGUAUUAUCAUGUGCUAUUAUUAAUGGUAUAAUAAGAAAUACAUAAUGCUGUAAAAUGGUUCUUAGCUAUUAAUAAUACCAAAAUAGAAAGUUAAAAAUGUUGUGAUACUUUUACAUUAUUAUUGGUUCAAUUGUAAAUUAAAAAUAUUUUUUACAACAAAAAUAGUAUUCUUAAUUUCACAGCAUUUUUUUAAUAAAUAAAUAAUAUUUGUUACAGAAAAUAAUUUAAUCCAAGUUAAAGGUUGUGUACAAUCUUAUUUCAGUGUUUCAAUGAAAUUAAUUUGCUAAACAUCAUUAAAUAUUUUAUUUCUAUUUUACUGUAAAAAGGAAAAGUACUGAAAAACAUUGCCUAUGGUUGACUUCCUUAAAGUGUACAUAGUUUUGAUGAAAUCGUGUAAUAUGCACAUUUUCUGCAGUAUUCAAUUACGUAAUUGCUUGCUUCAGCUUUGUUUCAGAAUUUUAUUAAGAAGAAAUCUUUUUUUCUUUUUAAGAAUGUUUCAGAAAGACAUUUUAAUUUUGUGAAUGGGAGUAAACUUUUAAAGAAUAUUUAAUUGCUCUGUUUUUUUUGUUUUUUUUUAUUAUGUAAAAGAUACUUAGUUUUUGAAAUAUAUUUAAUUACUUGAUUAUUAUUAUUUCUUUGUUAUUAAAUUAUAGUCAAGGUCUAUUUUACCCUGUUAAUACCUUAAUUAUCUUUUUCAUUGUUGUUUACUCUUGAUUAAGCAGGAAGAUCUACAAACCUCUUGCCCUGGAUAACUGAAUGCUUUGAAUGACAAAGUUUGUUCAAGUUUUGAAUUAAAUUUUUAAAAAAUAAAUUUUCUCUAUGAAUAAAUUAUGAUUAAUUUUUUAAUUUCUCAAUUUUUUUUUAAUUUUGUAAAUGAUAGUUAAUUUUCAAAAUAUAUUUAAUUACUUGAUUGUCAUUAUUUUUUGUGUUUAUAAAUUAUAGUCUAGAUCUAACGAUGUUUGACCUGUUACUACUUUAUUUAUUUUUUUAAUUGUUGUAUCCUCUUGAUUCAGCAGGAAGAUCUAGAAACCUCUUGCCCUGGAUAACUGAAUGCUUCAAACGAGGAAAUUUAUUCAAGUUUUGAAUUAAAUUUGAACUCGACCGAUUAAAUUUAAGUUUUUAUUUUUUUAAAGGGGGUAAAUUUUAAAAUUACUUUUUGGGGGUGAUUUUAAAAUUAUUUUUUAAAUAAAUACUUUUUUUUAAAUAAAUUACCCUUAAAUGUUUAUUUCAGUCUAAAUGAUCGAAUAAAUCUUUUAAGCUGUUUAUCAAAAAAAAAAAAUGUUAUUAUUUUUUUUUUUUUUUGGAAAAAAAAUUUUUGCACAGAGAUUGGGCUCUUAGCGUGCCUUUAAUAAUUAUUUAUAAACUACACAUUUUUCUCUUAUUUAGAUGAUGAGUGAAUAUUGCUUUUUGAAAUACACAAAUAAAAUAGUAUAAUUUAAAAAUUUAUUGAGUAUCAAAUUCAAUUGUUACAUAAUAUUACAUGCAUGAUAAAUUUUUACAGUGUUAAGCGAGUGCCCUUUUUCUGGGAGGAAGCACGUUGCCCUUUUUUAUUCCUAGAGAGAGCUCUGGAAUUCUAAUUGCAAUUAAUUUACUUGCUAGAAAGUUCUCAUAAUGGUUGUGAAAUAUUGAUAUUGAGGUUAUUUUAAGUGCUUAAAAAAGGAAAUAAGUAUUAAAUAUGUUUCUUUUUUAAAAAA